rnacentral:miRNA from 1 species
AUUCCACACUGUAAAUUGAAU